rnacentral:rRNA from 1 species
CCUACGGGUGGCAGCAGUGGGGAAUAUUGGGCAAUGGGCGCAAGCCUGACCCAGCAACGCCGCGUGAAGGAAGAAGGCUUUCGGGUUGUAAACUUCUUUUAAGAGGGAAGAGCAGAAGACGGUACCUCUUGAAUAAGCCACGGCUAACUACGUGCCAGCAGCCGCGGUAAUACGUAGGUGGCAAGCGUUGUCCGGAUUUACUGGGUGUAAAGGGCGUGCAGCCGGGAAGACAAGUCAGAUGUGAAAUCCCGCGGCUCAACCGCGGAACUGCAUUUGAAACUGUUUUUCUUGAGUGCAGGAGAGGAAAGCGGAAUUCCUAGUGUAGCGGUGAAAUGCGUAGAUAUUAGGAGGAACACCAGUGGCGAAGGCGGCUUUCUGGACUGUAACUGACACUGAGGUACGAAAGCGUGGGGAGCAAACAGGAUUAGAUACCCCUGUAGUC